CCCGCACAAGCAGCGGAGCGUGUGGUUUAAUUCGAUGAUACACGAAGAACCUUACCAGGCUUGACAUGCAGGUAUCGGGGUUUACGAAAGUAGGCCCACCCUCGGGAGGCCUGCACAGGUGCUGCAUGGCUGUCGUCAGCUCGUGUCGUGAGAUGUCCGGUUAAGUCCGGUAACGAGCGCAACCCUCGCUGUAUGUUAUACGUGUCAUACGGGACUGCCGGUAUCAAGCCGGAGGAAGGUGGGGAUGACGUCAAGUCAGCAUGGCCUUUAUGUCUGGGGCUACACACACGCUACAAUGGGUGGUACAGUAGGUAGCGAAGGAGCGAUCCGGAGCAAAUCUUUAAAACCAUCCUCAGUACGGAUUGCAGGCUGAAACCCGCCUGCAUGAAGCCGGAGUUGCUAGUAACCGCAUAUCAGCACGCUGCGGUGAAUACGUUCCCGGGCCUU
rnacentral:rRNA from 1 species